GUUUGAUCCUGGCUCAGAUUGAACGCUGGCGGCAUGCCUUACACAUGCAAGUCGAACGGCAGCACGGGAGCAAUCCUGGUGGCGAGUGGCGAACGGGUGAGUAAUGUAUCGGAACGUGCCUUGUCGUGGGGGAUAACGUAGCGAAAGCUACGCUAAUACCGCAUACCAUCCAAGGAUGAAAGCGGGGGAUCGCAAGACCUCGCGCGACAAGAGUGGCCGAUAUCAGAUUAGGUUGUUGGUGGGGUAACGGCCCACCAAGGCGAUGACGGGUAGCUGGUCUGAGAGGAUGGCCAGCCACAUUGGGACUGAGAGACGGCCCAGACUCCUACGGGAGGCAGCAGUGGGGAAUCUUGCGCAAUGGCCGAAAGGCUGACGCAGCGACGCCGCGUGGAGGAUGACG
rnacentral:rRNA from 1 species